AUGUAUGGUGCAUCUUCGAAACUCAGGUAUGCGUAUUUGAUCUCAAUCUCUUCUUCUACUCAACUUCUUCUCGUUUGGGAUUUCUUCUGUGUUUUAAAUAUGUUCUUGUCUGAUAUCAUUGUUGUGUUAUUUGUUAUUGUGGAAAAGACGAAUGAAGAUGUUGUGGAGGUAAUGAGGUUUGAGAUGAAGAUCGAAGUUGUAUGA
rnacentral:lncRNA from 1 species